rnacentral:rRNA from 1 species
GUAGUUAGCCGGGGCUUCCUCCUUGGCUACCGUCACUUUCUUCGUCACCAAGGACAGAGGUUUACAACCCGAAGGCCUUCAUCCCUCACGCGGCGUUGCUGGGUCAGGCUUGCGCCCAUUGCCCAAUAUUCCCCACUGCUGCCUCCCGUAGGAGUCUGGACCGUGUCUCAGUUCCAGUGUGGCCGAUCAGCCUCUCAGCUCGGCUACCCAUCGUCGACUUGGUGGGCCGUUACCCCGCCAACUAUCUAAUGGGACGCGAACCCCUCCAAUAGCGGAUUGCUCCUUUGACCUCAUCCUGAUGUCAGGUCGUGGUCUUAUGCGGUAUUAGCAACCGUUUCCGGUUGUUAUCCCCCUCUACUGGGCAGGUUGUUCACGCGUUACUCACCCGUUCGCCACUAAGUUAUCAACCGAAAUCAAUAACUCCGUUACGACUUGCAUGUGUUAGGCACGCCGCCACGCGUCGUCGUCGUACGACACUCGAUACUAACUACUACGUACUACGUACGACGGCGUCGGUCGACGGACGGCGACGUA